UUUCUUUUUCUUCCGGGCAACUAAAAAGGCUUAUCUACUUGGAAAUAAUAUUAAAUAUUUUAUAUAUAUAUUAAAGCUUCAAUUUCAGACCUAAGUCCAUCUCAUUUGUUACGAAUCUUACACUCACUCUAUAUCUUCUCUCUCUUUGGUCGUGAUGAUGGAUAUGUACAAAGAUGAUAGCUCACCAUAUUGUUAUUUCCAUCCAAAGGAAAAAUAUGUUGGAGUUUGUCCCUUCUGUUUGAACGAGAGGCUUCUUGUUUUAGCUUCAAAGCAGAGAUCAUCGCGAACUAAACACUUGUCAUCUUCACCAAUCAUUGGUAGUCUCCCUAAGAUCUUCGCCUUGAGCUCUCUUCUCAGUCGCCUCGAUCUCCGUCUCCAUCGGAAAUUCCAUCCCUCCUCCGAUCUUGACGUUUCCACGAGCCAAGAAGAUUCUUUUAUAUCGAUAAAAUUCGGAAACGAUGGAAAUGCAUCGUGGGAGAGAAAAACGGUGUCAAAGGUCUGUGUAGACAACAACACAAACUCAACAUGUAAGACACAACAAUCCCCUAUAACGAGCAUUGUAGAGUACAACAGUCCCAAGUCAUCGCUUAAGUGGCGCAAACGUAUUGGUCAUCUUUUCCACGUCAUUAAACUUAGAUCGGGAUCGUCCACGUCUUUUUGCCACGUGGCAUCAUCAUCAUCCAAGGUCGAAGGAACCAAAGUGAGGAAACAGGGCUGGAUGGUGAGGACCUUAACCAGAAGGAAGUCCAAGAAAAGUAAAAGUUAAUUAUUUUCUCGCUUCAUAUUAAAUUCUACACCUAAAACCAAAUACUUUUCUAUUAUUUUGAUUUUGGUUUGGUCGUUGUUUCAGUGAUUGAUGCGUCUGUUUAAAGAAGAAGUACGUGGAAGUUUUUUGUUGUUGUUGGACAAGAGGCUUGCUCUGGACCAUACUUCUUUCUUGGCAUGUGGUCUGAAUCUGAUAAAGCCAUUAAAAGAUGUGGAGAAGGGUCAAGAUAGCCUUUUAUCAUUAUUUUCAAAGUGACAAAAGAGAGUUUUUGAAGAAAAAAAUAAAGAAAGGAAGCUAAAGAGAGAAGAAAAACAAAAAAAGUGAGUUGCUUUAGAAUAUAUAAAUUUGCAUGGGAUUCUCAGAAUUCUUGUAUGACUUUGAGUGCUCAUCACCUUAAUUUCCUUUUUUCAUAUUUUAUAAAGGAAAAUAAAGGAGAGUAGUACAAGUUGUAAUGCAAGAAGAAGAGUCCAUGUUAGGUUGUUCACAAUAGCGGGAAACAUUGUGGCACAGAAUAUGGACCCCAAAGCCUUGCCCCCAUUCACAUUGUCUUGUAGUUGUCUCUUUUAUAUACAUUGUAUAUAUCCAAAUCCUAGAUUAAAAGAAUUUUUUGACAAAUAGCAUAGCAUAGUUUUAUGCUGUAGAAUUAUCAUGGCAUAUUAGUUUUGCCAAGUUCUUUUUGAUUAGAAAAGAAGUAGGUUUAAAUGUGAAAUCAAUAGUAGAAUCAUUUGACAGAGUUGAUUUUGAUA